rnacentral:rRNA from 1 species
AUUGAACGCUGGCGGCAUGCCUAACACAUGCAAGUCGAACGAGAUCUUCGGGUCUAGUGGCGCACGGGUGCGUAACGCGUGGGAAUCUGCCCUUUGGUUCGGAAUAACAGUUGGAAACGACUGCUAAUGCCGGAUGAUGACGAAAGUCCAAAGAUUUAUCGCCAGAGGAUGAGCCCGCGUAGGAUUAGCUAGUUGGUGUGGUAAAGGCGCACCAAGGCGACGAUCCUUAGCUGGUCUGAGAGGAUGAUCAGCCACACUGGGACUGAGACACGGCCCAGACUCCUACGGGAGGCAGCAGUGGGGAAUAUUGGACAAUGGGCGAAAGCCUGAUCCAGCAAUGCUGCGUGAGUGAUGAAGGCCUUAGGGUUGUAAAGCUCUUUUACCCGGGAUGAUAAUGACAGUACCGGGAGAAUAAGCUCCGGCUAACUCCGUGCCAGCCGCCGCAGUAA